rfam:Neurospora tetrasperma FGSC 2509 unplaced genomic scaffold NETTE2scaffold_69, whole genome shotgun sequence.
GGCAAGAUGGCCGAGCGGUCUAAGGCGCCACGUUAAGGUAAACCCUUAAUCCUCCUCAAGGAAAUCCGUGGUCCGAAAGGGCGUGGGUUCGAAUCCCACUCUUGUCA